CACGGAGUUAGCCGGGGCUUCUUUACCGGGUACCGUCAUUAUCUUCCCCGGCGAAAGGGCUUUACGACCCUAAGGCCUUCAUCACCCACGCGGCAUGGCUGGAUCAGGGUUGCCCCCAUUGUCCAAGAUUCCCCACUGCUGCCUCCCGUAGGAGUCUGGGCCGUGUCUCAGUCCCAGUGUUGCUGAUCAUCCUCUCAAACCAGCUACCGAUCGUCGGCUUGGUGCGCCGUUACCACACCAACUACCUAAUCAGACGCGGGCCGAUCCCUUGCCGAUAAAUCUUUCCCCCUCAGGGCACAUCCGGUAUUACCCCCAGUUUCCCAGGGCUAUUCCAGAGCAAAGGGCACGUUCCCACGCGUUACUAACCCGUCCGCCGCUCCCCCUCGCGAGGGCGCUCGACUUGCAUGUGUUAAGCCUGCCGCCAGCGUUCGUUCUGAGCCAGGAUCAAACUCU
rnacentral:rRNA from 1 species